rnacentral:lncRNA from 1 species
CACACCGCGUGCUCCUAACUACCUAAGCAAAGCUGAGAAACCCACCUGACUCGCCCGAGGAAACUGAAGUCCCAGGCUGAAAGUGACCUGUCCGAGGUCCCCCAGAACAGGAAGCCCUGGGAGAUACAAGACGCCAGCAGCCCUCUGUGUCGAAAAGAAAAGAAAAGAAAAGAAAAGAAAAGAAAAGAAAAGAAAAGAAAAGAAAAGAAAAGAAAAGAAAAGAGAGAAGAGAAAAGAAAAGCUUUGAGAAAGAGCAUGCAGAGGAAUGUGGUCCUUGAAAGAAGGGAGGACCGUCAUCAUCUAAACAGAGGCCAGGCAUAGGUGCCAGCAGAGAACGGUCUUUGCUGCCUUUCCUUCCACCUCUGCUAAUGGCACUCCAGCCUUCACAGAUCCCCAGGAGCCUGGGUCAAGUCCAGCUCUCCCUCUUCAGUGAAGUUACUGCUUAGACUCUCAGAGACCGCUCACACAGGACCUGUGUUUCUCAGUGUCAAGCUUUUUUUUUUUCCCCUCCUCUUAGUUCAGAUUGCAGGGAAGAGCUAUUGAGAUCUGACUCCUCCACAAUGGCCACAGCACCCUUGUGUGCCCUGGCACAUCACUGUCCAGAAACAAGCCAAGGGAAAUAGUGAAGACUGUAAGAAGGCCUGUUGUCCCCACUGUCACACUGCCCUCUCUCUCUUCCAUACUAUAGGAGGGAAGCUAUGGAGUCCUGUACAGUCUCUUCCAGCCCUAAAUUCUUCACUCCUUUGAAUGGCAGCAUUCCAGAAGUGAUCUGAAUAACCGAGCCAGAUUAUGCCCUCCUUGAAAAUAAGAACUCUAUCUCUUUCACUCCCAUAUCCCACUAAAUCACAGUGAGUGUGAGCUGAAGCACCAGAGGAGCCAGCCCAUUCAGAAAAACCCCAGGCACCUCCAUGGACGGGCUAUCUAGUUGUUCCUGAACAACUUUAUUAACCUCCUUGUGUACAAAAUAGGGACCUACCUAAUAGCGUUGUCUGGGGGAUAAGACAAGAAGUUGUACAGGAAACAUUUCGCGCACAAGGACUCAGGAGCUGAGGCUGGGCUAGUUCCCCUCCUGGCCCGAUUCCAGUCUGUCAGUGUAGCAACGCAAGAUUCCAGAUAUGGCCUGACCAAGCCAGUACAAUAGACCUAUUAUUUCCCCCAGUCUGGACACGACACAUUGUUAAUGCAGCCUAAGACUGCUGGGUUUCAGAGCCUUUCUCUCCCGUGAUUAGUUCCCAUCAGGUUGUGGUUAGCUAAAUUAUUCAGAUUCUUAGCACCAGAGCUUGGGGUCAAGUCAGGUUUCUUCACCAUCCUCUAUUCUGUGUAGUGUCCCCAAGCGCUCAGCAGAAUAAUGACAUCUGGCUUACUUCCGCCUGUGGACAUUGUUUUGAAUCCUAGCUCUAUUGCCCACGAUUUUCUUCCACUCUGAAUUCAGGCCCAGCUUGUUCUAACUUCUAGCCCUACUGGUCAGGACAGAGCUCUGUAACGCAACCCGAGAGACAGUAAAUCAUCAUGAGCAAAUCAGAGCAUCAUAAACCCAACAGUCCCCAGUCACCAAAUUCUCACUGUUUCCUGAGCAAGCAUGGUGCUCAGUGCUUUUGCUUUGUGUAUACCAUCUAAUUUACUUAUUCCAACACUGAUGACAGAGGGUGUUUUUGUUACCCCGUUCUACAGA